AUGACUUUGAUCUGCGUCCUCAUCUGGACUCUCCUCUGCUGCUGCUUCACAGAGUCCAGAGGACAGAUCACAGUGACUCAGCCUGGAGCAGUGAGCUCUGCUGUGGGAGGAUCUGUGAGCAUCAAGUGUAGGACCAGUCAGAAUGUUUAUGUUUGGAGCAUCUAUCAUUAUUUAGCCUGGUACCAACAGAAAGAUGGAGACGUUCCCAAACUGCUCAUUAAGCUUGCUCAUGAGAGAAUAUCAGGGAUUCCAGCUCGUUUUACAGGCAGUGGAUCAAACUCUGACUUCACUCUGACCAUCAGUGGAGUCCAGGCUGAAGAUGCAGCAGUUUAUUACUGUCAGAGUUAUCACUAUAUCAACAGUCAGCGGGUGUACACGUUCGGUGGAGGAACCAGACUGGAUGUUGGAAGUGAUACCCGCCCCGCCCUGAAGGUGCUGGGUCCCUCCAACAAGGAGCUGGAGCAGGGGAAGGCCACGCUCAUGUGUGUGGCCAACAAGGGCUUCCCUUCAGACUGGAGUCUGUCCUGGAAGACGAGCGACAGCAGUGGCAGCAGCAGCAUCAGAGGGGAGGAGAGCAGGACUCCUGGAGUGCUGCAGAAUGACGGCCUCUACAGCUGGAGCAGCACCCUGACGCUCACUGCAGACCAGUGGGGGAAGGUGGGCUCUGUGACCUGUGAGGCCACCCAGGGCUCCCAGUCUCUGGUCUCAGAGAUACUGAGGAGAGACCAGUGUUCCCAGUCCUGAUGUCAAUCACUGAGUCUUUGAUGUUGAUUUUCUUCUGUCUCUUUGUUUCUUUGUGUUUGCAGAUUUAAAAAAUAAACUCAUUAAAUAUUCAUAUUUCCAUCUCAUAAUGACAACAAUCAGAGCAACAAUCUCCUCUAGUUUCAUCCUUUGGUGUCUGUUGUAAUGCUGAUAUUUCAAACUCUUAAAAGAAUAAAAAUGCAACGAGAAAACAUGUUCUUUGACUCUGUGAGUUUAAUAAAUGCACAUUAAAAAAUUAAGAUUUUGUAAUAUUUGUAAAACAGACCAAAAUAAAAAUGUAAACAGACACAUC